CAGCAAGUUGGCUAGAAUAGCAGUCAACCAUAUUAUUCAAAAGAAAGGAUUGCAAAAUCGUCCAACUAAUGCAGAUGUCUGUGAAUCAGCAAAUGUCAUUGUUACACAUUUUCCCUCAGAAAAGCUUGAAACAUGGUAUACUGCUCCUACGAGUAAAAAAACUAUAGCUGGUGGAAAGUUGUCCGAGAAGCUUCGCAACACAUGGCGAAAUAUUAAAUCAGUGGGUAUUUUAAAAAAUUCUAACGGCCAACAAUGAAGAACAUGAUAGUAGCGAUGAAGAAGCAAUUCAAGAUGACCUUAAUUGGCUUAAAUUUAAUAGUUAACCAUGGACUGAAGUGUGCCAUAAAUGGAAAUCAACUUCAAAAUUUAGGUUGAAAUGUUUUCAAUCUGGCACCAAAGACAUUCCAAAUUUUAAACUUCUUUUGGAUCUAAAAGCAGAUGCAUUGUCAGUUGAAAAUGCUGAGCAAUCAAUUAAUAACUUCAGGAUCUUAUAUAAUGACCUGAAGCUGACACUUCAACUUUUGGUUUAUGCUGUUCCACCAAACAUUGCUGUUGUUGUGUACAACAAUCACAGAUGGUCAUUUGAAACCCCUUUGAAAGCAAUGGAUUUUUCGUUUAAACUGAUUCAAAUCUUGGAUCAGGAAUACAAUAUUGCAAGUUUUCCAGCUUGAAUGUUUUUUGCAAAUAUAUAUAUAUAUUGUUUUAAUUGCCCCGAUUUUGACGUAUCAUGCCCGAAAGCAAGUGAAUUGGCUUCUGAGUUGAAUUUAUAAGUUUAGUUGACUGUCUUGAAUUGUUAUAAGUAUAGACUGUGUAGUUGCAUAAUGCGUAAAAAAAAAAAAUGUUUGUAGAUGCGGUAAUAAUACAAGCUAAAACAAAUGUAAA